GAGUCCUCCUCAGCUCAGCAGCCACUGCCAGUUUUUUAUUUUGUUCUGGGUUCUUGGGUGGGGGGGGGUCCUUGUUUUCUCUGAAGCAGGUGCUUUGUUAAUCCUUUUCUUGCUGUGCUUAGCACACCACCUGCUCCAAAGUCCAGCACCUCUCUGUCCUCCCUUUUCCUUCCCUUCCCCCCCCCACUUCCCUAUCCCCAUUCCCACAGCCUUUUCUUGCACCAGCCUUUUAAUUAAUUUUCUCAGUGUUUUUACUUUUAAUUUGUUUUUUGAGCAGGUGAAAUAGCUAGAAAGCUUUUCAUUCUGCCAUAUCCCCGCCCAGCUGUGCCAGCUUACCACUGCUCUGGAAUUCAUUUUUUCUCUUGAUCAGUGUGUGGGGCAGAAGAUCUCCAGGACAACAAGGGGAAGAAACAAGGCUGCCAUUUACACUGGGGAAUUCUGAGUUUUAAGCACAACUCGUCAUCUACAAUAAAUCUGGACGUGAACCUACUCUGCGGAGAAAUUAGCAGAGUGAGCUACUUAUUCCAGGCAACCCCAAAGCUACCCCAAUAAGACCUAGAGUUACUAUAUGGAUGAAAAAAGUGCUGAGGAUCCCUCUUGCGGAAUACCAGUGAAGGCGCCUAGACAAAACUCCCCGCAAAGCUGCUAAUCAGUUGCCAGAGAAUCCAAACCAAGCUGAUGUCUCUUUCUCUUCUCCCCUUCCUUCAUGCUGGCAGUACCAGGGGGAGUUGAAACUGAAGAUGAAGAAUGAAGAAGACCACUGCUCCCGUGGCCCAUUGCACUUGGUUUUUGCAGAUGCCAAGCAGACCAGGAUCUGCCAACUUGUACCCCUAACUUGUACCCCUAACUGCCCUGAGCCAUUUUUGGAAAGGUGGUAUAUAAAUCAAAUAAAUAAAUACAAUAAAAUAAUAACUUGUAUCCCUGCUAACUGAGCAAAGAGACGCCUUUUAAAGUCAUAAUUAUAUUUAGCAGUGGGGGAGCAACUGUCCCUAUCCAACCCCAGUACACCCACCCUCCAGUG